AACCACCGUCCUGCGACUGUUUAUAGUCAGUGUGUGGGAGCUGAACCUUGCAUCAUUUGCUUAAUGGGUUUCUUCCCCUUCCCCUGGAAACAGGAAAAAGAAUGUUAGCUUUCUCCAGGAGCCUUCAGCAACAAGGCUCAAAUCAUUUUCCCAGCCUAGCCCAGCAAACAAAGAUGCUUACAUUCUCCCCGGCACUGCAAACAGCUUUUCAGUGGCAGCUGGUCCUAGGAUUAGGCUCCCCUCCCCCUGCCCUGGUCCCAGUGCAGAUCCACAGAUCUCCAGGUUCAUUCCCUCCCUGUACACAGGCUCUUUGUAAACGGAAAGAAGAAUCUGCAAAACAAACAAACAAACAAACAAAAACCCAUGACCUUCAUCCGUGGGAACCAGGUUUUAGGGAGAAAGCCUGAACUUCCAGAUGGGGACAAUGAUGAUGAUGUCAUAGCAGACAUAAGUAACAGGAAGAUGGCGAAACUCUACAUGGGGCAGCUGGGGCCAUUUCUGAGUGGAUGAAGAGUGGUAACUGUAUUCCUACAAUUACCAUGGUCCCCCAUCACAUUAACCUGAUUGUGGAAACAUGUCUGGUCUACUCUGCUUAAUCAUAUCAACAUACCAAAGAAGGAUCGUCCGUACAUGAGCUUCUGGAUGUACACAGGAGGAAAUUGCACAAGCACAGCAUGGGGCCAUGGGAUAGCCACAUCGUCAGAAAGACCUGGCUGAGCAGUGACACCAUGAAUAAGACUCUCACACUGAAGAGCUGUAAGCGGACCUUUAGCUGUGCCCAAGGCUCUCAGACGGUGAGAAGUGAGGCUUUAAAUCUACUGUUUUGCUUGGAGUCAAAGCCGUGUUUACUACCUUGGAGCAGCACAUUUCGGCCUGCUGAUAUAAGAAGCAUUCAGGUUUGGUUUUAUACAUGGUGGAUGUUGACAUCGCUGGGAAGCUAUGGGGCAAACCUACACCUGGAUUAGAGACGGAAAGGGAUUAAAGCACUGACCUCAGACCUGAGCAAAAGUUUAUUCGAACCUUAGAUCUUUUGAAAAUGCAAUCAAGUGUCUGUCCAGCCCUUGGACCCGGCUGGGGCACAUAGAGGCCUCUUGGUGCUGACUCAGGGUUUUCUCCCUCAUGGAGGAACACUUGCAGGGUGAGGACAGUGCCUCUGACUCGACAUCUGGAAGGGUUUCUUCAUUUAAACACAAUCAGGCCGGUUCUGUUUGAUUUUAGUAAUUUUUCUUUUAUCUAUUUAAAAACAAUCAAGUUAACCCACAGUUUAUCUUGAAGUUUCCAAUCUCCUUCAUGGAAGUGAGUCUUUCCACACAGGACACUUCUGCAGUUUUUUUCAAAUUCAGCUUAAGUUUUCAUUAAUAUUUACAUUUUAAGUAUUUUAUAAUUUAACAGAUAGCUCAGUGGUAUGGCUCACAAUUCAAAGAUACAUCCUGAUCUAAUGUAGAGAGUGUCUUUCCCACUCUUGUCUCCAAGCUCCACUCUUCUCUCACUCAGAGAAAAACAAUGAUUUCUAGAAUCUUGUAUUUUUUCCAGAGAUAUUUUAAGUGCCAUAUAUACGAGAAAAAUUCCUGUAUCAGUUUACUACUGCCUCCUUUAAAUAAACAGUGUCAUAUAUUGUGUUCUGAGAGCACAUACAUGCACACAUAUAUAUGACUUUUUUUUCCCUAUUUUAAAAUAAGGGCACUAGAAGCACAAGGCAGUGUAAAGCGCUUAGGAAAAUGUUCUCCCCAUAGAGACAUCUAUAAACUGAUCAAAAUUAGUGAAAUCGAAUCAGUAGAACUCUCUAGAGAUUGAUCAAAGUGCUCGAAGCAGAUGGGGAGCAGCACACUUCCUCAGCAGAAACAGAGGUGGUGGGAGGCUGCUGCACAGAGCUCUGUGCCAGGGAGAUGCUGGAGCUGAGCAAGUGAGCGGGGAUGGGUGGGCCCCACAUCCCCCAGCUCCCUGCUGCAGAAGCCUGACAGGAUAUAAGGAGUACACACCAGUGCUGGCCCACGAGUGUUGGUGACCAGUUCUCAGAGCUCAUUUUAGUGACUCAACAGAGAAGGGAUGUAAUGAGGAUGAUGCCAAGCACACCCCUCAUUCCCUCACAGCAGACUGUGUGGAGGACCUGCUCAGACACACCACACAUCUCUAACAGAUUCCUGAAGUGGAAGCCCUGUUCCAGGUAGACUUGACAACCAGUCUGUGGUGGAUAUGCUUGGUCCAUAGGAAGUGGCUCCGUUGGAGGAAGUGUGUCACUGUGUGUGUGUGUGUGUGUGUGUGUGUGUGUGUGUGUGUGUGUGUGUGUUGAGGGGUGUGAGCUGGGCUGCACUUUGAUAGCCUCCUCCUAGCUGCUUGCAAGACAGUCUUCUCCUAGCACUGCCUUCAGAC
rnacentral:sRNA from 1 species